GGGCCCGCACAAGCGGUGGAGUAUGUGGUUUAAUUCGAUGCAACGCGAAGAACCUUACCAGGGUUUGACAUCCUGCGAAUCUCUUGGAAACGAGAGAGUGCCUUCGGGAACGCAGUGACAGGUGGUGCAUGGCUGUCGUCAGCUCGUGUCGUGAGAUGUUGGGUUAAGUCCCGCAACGAGCGCAACCCACGUCUUUAGUUGCCAGCAUUUAGUUGGGCACUCUAGAGAGACUGCCGGUGAUAAACCGGAGGAAGGUGUGGAUGACGUCAAGUCAUCAUGCCCCUUACAUCCUGGGCUACACACGUGCUACAAUGGUCGGUACAGAGAGCAGCCACUACGCGAGUAGGAGCGAA
rnacentral:rRNA from 1 species